AUUGAACGCUAGCGGGAUGCUUUACACAUGCAAGUCGAACGAGUGGCGGACGGGUGAGUAAUAUAUCGGAACGCGCCCAGUAGCGGGGGAAAACUACUCGAAAGAGGGGCUAAUACCGCAAUAUCAGGGGGCGCCCGAUAUCGGAUUAGCUUGUUGGUGGGGUAAAGGCUCACCAAGGCCACGCUCCGUAGCUGGUUUGAGAGGAAGACCAGCCACACUGGGACUGAGACACGGCCCAGACUCCUACGGGAGGCAGCAGUGGGGAAUAUUGGACAAUGGGGGAAACCCUGAUCCAGCCAUCCCGCGUGUAUGAGAAGGCCUUCGGGUUGUAAAGUACUUUUGGCAGGGAAGCGGUAUCUGCAGAAUAAGCACCGGCUAACUACGUGCCAGCAGCCGCGGUAAUUC
rnacentral:rRNA from 1 species